ensembl:misc_RNA
AGGCUCCGCCAAGUGCCCUUUGCUCUAAGUAAAUUUUUGGGAUUUUUUUAGUGAUUUUUCGGCCGAGUCUUAAAGGCGCUGUAGUCUCGGACAGGUUACUCCGUCUCUCCCGCUAGAUUGAUGAGAUCAGGCAUC